rnacentral:misc_RNA from 1 species
GAAGAUCUAGAACUUGGUGAUGAGGAUGACGUCAAAGAAAGGGAAACUAAACAGGAAUUCAAUCUCCUUUGUGAUUGGAUCAAGCAACAGCUUGGUGACAAGGUUGCCAAAGUCCAAGUUUCAAAGCGUCUAAGCUCAUCUCCAUGUGUGCUUGUUUCUGGAAAGUUUGGUUGGUCAGCCAAUAUGGAGAGGUUGAUGAAAGCACAAGCUCUUGGAGACACUUCCAGCUUGGAGUUCAUGAGAGGAAGGAGAAUA